rnacentral:misc_RNA from 1 species
CUGUGUUUUCCACGGAUUCAAUGUCCUCGUGCUUCAGAAACUCCCCGUUGCCGUUACAUAGACGAGUCGACAAAGACGGGGAUAAUGGUCCAUAGAUACUUUUUGAGGAACCACUCCUAUCAAGCCUGUCAUCUACAUGCUUUAGAAACUCCCCGUUCCCACUACAUAGUCGAGUUGACAAUGAUGGCGACAUUGGUCCAUAUAUACUUUUUGAGGAACCACUCCUAUCAAGCCUGUCAUCUACAUGCUUUAGAAACUCCCCGUUCCCACUACAUAGUCGAGUUGACAAUGAUGGCGACAUUGGUCCAUAU